GGGAAUCUUUCCAAUCGAAUAUUCUCUUGGGAAAAUUUGCAGUGAGAAAAAAUUUGUAGUGGGAGCAAAUUUCCCCACGAGAAUAUUCAAUUGGAAAGAUUCCC
rnacentral:miRNA from 1 species